rnacentral:misc_RNA from 2 species
AGAGUUACUACUCCAAACCCAUUGUGAACCUUACCUAUGUUCUGUUGCCUCGGCGGCGUGGUCAGCGCCCCUCUGAAAAGAGGACGAUGCCCUCCCGCCGGCAGCACCAAACUCUUUGAAUUUUACAGCGGAUUACAGUUCUGAUUUGAAAACAAAAAAACAAGUUAA